AGAGUUUGAUCCUGGCUCAGGAUGAACGCUAGCUACAGGCUUAACACAUGCAAGUCGAGGGGCAGCAUGGUCUUAGCUUGCUAAGGCCGAUGGCGACCGGCGCACGGGUGAGUAACACGUAUCCAACCUGCCGUCUACUCUUGGACAGCCUUCUGAAAGGAAGAUUAAUACAAGAUGGCAUCAUGAGUCCGCAUGUUCACAUGAUUAAAGGUAUUCCGAUAGACGAUGGGGAUGCGUUCCAUUAGAUAGUAGGCGGGGUAACGGCCCACCUAGUCUUCGAUGGAUAGGGGUUCUGAGAGGAAGGUCCCCCACAUUGGAACUGAGACACGGUCCAAACUCCUACGGGAGGCAGCAGUGAGGAAUAUUGGUCAAUGGGCGAGAGCCUGAACCAGCCAAGUAGCGUGAAGGAUGACUGCCCUAUGGGUUGUAAACUUCUUUUAUAAAGGAAUAAAGUCGGGUAUGCAUACCCGUUUGCAUGUACUUUAUGAAUAAGGAUCGGCUAACUCCGUGCCAGCAGCCGCGGUAAUACGGAGGAUCCGAGCGUUAUCCGGAUUUAUUGGGUUUAAAGGGAGCGUAGAUGGAUGUUUAAGUCAGUUGUGAAAGUUUGCGGCUCAACCGUAAAAUUGCAGUUGAUACUGGAUAUCUUGAGUGCAGUUGAGGCAGGCGGAAUUCGUGGUGUAGCGGUGAAAUGCUUAGAUAUCACGAAGAACUCCGAUUGCGAAGGCAGCCUGCUAAGCUGCAACUGACAUUGAGGCUCGAAAGUGUGGGUAUCAAACAGGAUUAGAUACCCUGGUAGUCCACACGGUAAACGAUGAAUACUCGCUGUUUGCGAUAUACAGCAAGCGGCCAAGCGAAAGCGUUAAGUAUUCCACCUGGGGAGUACGCCGGCAACGGUGGAACUCAAAGGAAUUGACGGGGGCCCGCACAAGCGGAGGAACAUGUGGUUUAAUUCGAUGAUACGCGAGGAACCUUACCCGGGCUUAAAUUGCAGAUGAAUUACGGUGAAAGCCGUAAGCCGCAAGGCAUCUGUGAAGGUGCUGCAUGGUUGUCGUCAGCUCGUGCCGUGAGGUGUCGGCUUAAGUGCCAUAACGAGCGCAACCCUUGUUGUCAGUUACUAACAGGUACUGCUGAGGACUCUGACAAGACUGCCAUCGUAAGAUGUGAGGAAGGUGGGGAUGACGUCAAAUCAGCACGGCCCUUACGUCCGGGGCUACACACGUGUUACAAUGGGGGGUACAGAGGGCCGCUACCACGCGAGUGGAUGCCAAUCCCCAAAACCUCUCUCAGUUCGGACUGGAGUCUGCAACCCGACUCCACGAAGCUGGAUUCGCUAGUAAUCGCGCAUCAGCCACGGCGCGGUGAAUACGUUCCCGGGCCUUGUACACACCGCCCGUCAAGCCAUGGGAGCCGGGGGUACCUGAAGUGCGUAACCGCGAGGAGCGCCCUAGGGUAAAACUGGUGACUGGGGCUAAGUCGUAACAAGGUA
rnacentral:rRNA from 1 species